UCAGAUUCGCAUUACUGGUGUUUGUGUGACAGUUUAAGUUUCGUUUUCUUUUCUACGGAAAAGGCAGUGGCUCUUUCAUUUGCGGUGUGUCCUGAGCUGCAGCUGCUGGUAACAUCUACACACAGGAGUUAUGUUCUCGUCUGUUAAAGAAAAAAACAGUGGCUUUAGCUUUGGAGUUACUGCAAGUACAACCAAACCCUCACGUUCUAAUGGAUUGACACCACUCACAGCAGCUUCAACUACUUCAGUCCAACCUGCUUUUGGCACAAUAACUCUCACCAGAGAUGAUAACAGCGAAGUCACAAAUAGUUCAGAGACAAGGGAACCAAGACCUCAGUUCACAUUCUUGGCCAGGAAGGAGUGGCCAAAGGGGAGGACACCCAGGAAGAGUUCAGGAAAAAGCUGUCAGAAUGGUAUGUUUGAUACUAGUC